AUUGAACGCUGGCGGCAGGCCUAACACAUGCAAGUCGAGCGAGCGGCGGACGGGUGAGUAAUGUCUGGGAAACUGCCUGAUGGAGGGGGAUAACUACUGGAAACGGUAGCUAAUACCGCAUACCAUCAGAUGUGCCCAGAUGGGAUUAGCUAGUAGGUGGGGUAACGGCUCACCUAGGCGACGAUCCCUAGCUGGUCUGAGAGGAUGACCAGCCAAAAUGGAACGGAGACACGGUCCAGAGUCCUACGGGAGGCAGCAGUGGGGAAUAUUGCACAAUGGGGGCAAGCCUGAUGCAGCCAUGCCGCGUGUAUGAAGAAGGCCUUCGGGUUGUAAAGUACUUUCAGCGGGGAGGCGUUACCCGCAGAAGAAGCACCGGCUAACUCCGUGCCAGCAGCCGCGGUAAUAC
rnacentral:rRNA from 1 species